CCUACGGGAGGCAGCAGUGAGGAAUAUUGGUCAAUGGACGAGAGUCUGUACCAGCCAAGUAGCGUGAAGGAUGACUGCCCUAUGGGUUGUAAACUUCUUUUAUAUGGGAAUAAAAUGAUCCACGUGUGGGAUUUUGUAUGUACCAUAUGAAUAAGGAUCGGCUAACUCCGUGCCAGCAGCCGCGGUAAUACGGAGGAUCCGAGCGUUAUCCGGAUUUAUUGGGUUUAAAGGGAGCGUAGGUGGAUUGUUAAGUCAGUUGUGAAAGUUUGCGGCUCAACCGUAAAAUUGCAAUUGAUACUGGCAGUCUUGAGUACAGUAGAGGUAGGCGGAAUUCGUGGUGUAGCGGUGAAAUGCUUAGAUAUCACGAAGAACUCCGAUUGCGAAGGCAGCUCACUAGACUGCAACUGACAUUGAUGCUCGAAAGUGUGGGUAUCAAACAGGAUUAGAUACCCUUGUAGUC
rnacentral:rRNA from 1 species